rnacentral:tRNA from 1 species
AGGAGCUUGAGCAGAGGGUUCUGCGUUUUGACUGCAAAUCGAAAUAAAGGGAUUCGAGUUCCCCGGCUCUUC